AAUGGGAAAGCAGGUAGUGGAAAGUCUCACAGUCUUAGUGCUACUUGAAGAGGUUAUUAUGGACUCUAUCCUUAGAAACUUGAAGUCCUGUUACAUAUUACUUAACAACAGGGACACAUUCCGAAAAAUGCAUCAUUAGGCGACUUUCUCCAGCCUGUUGCCCCUGGGCUACAAAUCUAUAUAACAUGUUACCUACACUGAAUGCUGUAGGCAGUUGGAACACAAUGGCAAGUAUUUGUUUAUUUAAACAUAGAAAAGGUACAGCAAAAAUAU